rnacentral:rRNA from 1 species
UACAGAGGUCCCAAGCGUUGUUCGGAUUCACUGGGCGUAAAGGGUGCGUAGGUGGCAGGGUAAGUUUGAUGUGAAAUCUCCGAGCUUAACUCGGAAACUGCAUUGAAUACUAUCCUGCUCGAGGGUUGGAAGGGGGACUGGAAUUCUCGGUGUAGCAGUGAAAUGCGUAGAUAUCGAGAGGAACACCAGUGGCGAAGGCGAGUCCCUGGACAACUCCUGACACUGAGGCACGAAAGCUAGGGGAGCAAACAGG